rnacentral:rRNA from 1 species
CCUACGGGUGGCAGCAGUGAGGAAUAUUGGUCAAUGGACGAGAGUCUGAACCAGCCAAGUAGCGUGAAGGAUGACUGCCCUAUGGGUUGUAAACUUCUUUUAUAUGGGAAUAAAACGUUCCACGUGUGGGAUUUUGUAUGUACCAUAUGAAUAAGGAUCGGCUAACUCCGUGCCAGCAGCCGCGGUAAUACGGAGGAUCCGAGUGUUAUCCGGAUUUAUUGGGUUUAAAGGGAGCGUAGGUGGAUUGUUAAGUCAGUUGUGAAAGUUUGCGGCUCAACCGUAAAAUUGCAGUUGAAACUGGCAGUCUUGAGUACAGUAGAGGUGGGCGGAAUUCGUGGUGUAGCGGUGAAAUGCUUAGAUAUCACGAAGAACUCCGAUUGCGAAGGCAGUUCACUGGACUGCAACUGACACUGAGGCUCGAAAGUGUGGGUAUCAAACAGGAUUAGAUACCCCUGUAGUC